CACAGAAGAGAACCAUGGAACCCAGUGACUAGUGUUCAGCUCUAUUAGGACGAACCCAGGCACUUAGCCAUGCAGGAACAAUGGCAAGCCUUUAGCCCGAUCGGGAGUGGCAAUGGGCGCCUCGAUGGAUCAGGAGCACAGCGGACACCCUGCCAGAUCUGGAGGGAUGGAAGUCAGCGGUGGGUCUGCGAAAGCGCAAACAGGAGUGGUGGACAGCAAGUGAAAGCUCACCUCGAGCCGUAAGGAACACGGAACAAAAGAGAGUGCAGUUGCAAGAUUUAAUAGAGUGAAGACAGAGCUCCCAUACAAAAAGAGAGGACCCAAAGAGGUCAUCAGUUAGAUGAAUAUGUAUUUGAAAGCUGUUCAUUCAUUGUGGAGAUGUGGGUAGACAGCAGUAAAUAUGCCCCAUGGCACUGAUUAACUCAAAGUGGCUCCAGGCCAAAGAUUUUAUGCUUCAGUGGAGAUAUUUUUGCCAUCAGCAGGACUUUGUUGACCAUACAUUAUGAGGGAAAUAUUUAAUACUAUUUGGAGACUGAUAUAUUUUCCUCUUAUCUAGAGUAAAAUAAAUUAUAAGAAGUGAUGAAAACAACCAUUUAAUUAGACUUACAAUGGCUAUUGAGUUAAUCUUCAAGUUAUUUUCCUACGGGCCCUUUUAAGAGAAGGUUGGAAAGAAGGAACCAUGUUUACCAGAGAUGUUUCCCAAGAUGGACAACAGACUGACCAUGUUGAUUCAGAACUAAGUACUAAUAAAAAGGAGUUUAAUAAGAAGUCUAAUAGAAAUCAAAUUGUAUUUAUCAACUUUAAUUCUAUUUUAAUGCACGAGUCCUAACAGCCCAUUUUUUCUGACUGUGCUCCCAAAAGUUGUCUGGGCUUUUGCUGUUGCAACUGGAAGAGGCAAAGAAUAAUGAUUAUUAAAAAGUAGGUAUGUGC
rnacentral:lncRNA from 1 species